UACGGAGGGUGCAAACGUUGCUCGGAAUCAUUGGGCGUAAAGCGCACGUAGGUGGUUUGUUAAGUCGGGUGUGAAAGCCCUGGGCUCAACCCAGGAAGUGCACUCGAAACUGGCAGACUUGAGUACUGAAGAGGGUCGCGGAAUUCCUGGUGUAGCGGUGAAAUGCGCAGAUAUCAGGAAGAACACCCGUGGCUAAGGCGGCUCUCUAGUACGGUACUGACGCUGAGACGCGAAAGCGUGGGGAGCGAACAGG
rnacentral:rRNA from 1 species